rnacentral:rRNA from 1 species
UACGUAGGGUGCAAGCGUUAAUCGGAAUUACUGGGCGUAAAGCGUGCGCAGGCGGCUUUGCAAGACAGAUGUGAAAUCCCCGGGCUUAACCUGGGAACUGCAUUUGUGACUGCAUGGCUGGAGUGCGGCAGAGGAGAGUGGAAUUCCCGGUGUAGCAGUGAAAUGCGUAGAGAUCGGGAGGAACAUCAGUUGCGAAGGCGGCUCUCUGGACCAGCACUGACACUGAGGCACGAAAGCGUGGGGAGCAAACAGG